rnacentral:rRNA from 1 species
GACGAACGCUGGCGGCGUGCUUAACACAUGCAAGUCGAACGGUGAAGCGAGUGCUUUCCCCCGUGGACCAGUGGCGCACGGGUGUGUAACACGUGAGUAACCUGCCCAUCACUCUGUGAUAAGCACUCGAAACGGUGUCUAAUACUGGAUACGACCUACCCUUGCACGGGGUGCUGGUGGAAAGAAUGAGCGGUGAUGGAUGGACGCGCGGCCUAUCAGCUCGUUGGCGGGGUAAUGGCCGACCAAGUCGACGACGGGUCGCCGGCCUGCGAGGGUGAACGGCGACACGGGGACUGAGAGACGGCCCAGACUGCUACGGGAGGCAGCAGUGGGGAGUAUGGCGCAGUGGGCGAACGCCUGAUGCAGCGACGCCGGGUGAGGGAUGACGGCCUUCGGGUGGUAAACCUAUGUCUGCGGGGAAGAAGCGAAAGUGACGGUACCUGCAGAAGAAGCACCGGCUAACUACGUG